ensembl:lncRNA
AAAAAGUCUUGACAAGUAUCCCCUUAUAACUUUCAUAAUGCAACGGGCACAGAGAAAGGAUUAUAGAUCCGCAGGAGAUUAAUAAUAUAGAUCCGAUUUGACUCAUAUGAUCAAAUCUGUCUGAAUCACUGACUCAACCACAUAAAAGCUCUUCCUCUGUCAGUCAUUCAGUCAGACCCUGAGAGAGUUUGUGCAGCAUCAGCCUCUGGAAGGACAACACCACAGCUGAAAUUAGACAUGCAUCCCAUAUUGAUCGGCAUUGUGACAGCCAACACAAGUUUAACUAUUGUCUACUGGAACUUUCUUCUGUCUCAGGUUUUCGGCAAGAAGAUCAGAGAUGGAGAACCACCUGAGGAAAUUCCCAUCUGAGUUGAGACUUUGGUCGUGACCCUGGUGAUGAAGAGAAAGAAGACGAACCACCAAAGCCCAUCUUUGGGAAGGAAGUAGGGAUGAGGGAGAGAAAAUAAGAACAAAGAAGGAACAGACUGCCAUUUGACCCAGAUGUGGACGGAUAGAAAUUCUGCCAGGAUUUAUAUCUUCUGUAUUUGACAAAUCAUGAGGUUAAAAAGGUGUCACUGAAUAGAUUAAUGAACAACCCUCUCUCUCUCAUCCAUUAGUCCAUCUCCCAAAAAAAAAAAAAAAAAAAAAAAUUCUCUUUGUCAGUGCUGCUCGUAUCCACAUGUUCUAAGUUACCAAAAAAUACAAAGCUUAUGUAUUUGAAGUCUGUAGGCAGAUGAUUUAUUUGUAAUUUCGUGUUUUUUCCCCCCACAAAAUAGCUACACGGGUUUUGUGAAAAUCUAUCUGUCUUACUCUUCUACAUGUGUCUCAUUCCCCUAAUAAUAAAUAAAUAUAACAUAGAGCACUGGGUUGUUUACAUGGCA